GCCCUACGGGGCGCAGCAGUGAGGAAUAUUGGUCAAUGGCCGAGAGGCUGAACCAGCCAAGUCGCGUGAGGGAAGACGGCCCUACGGGUUGUAAACCUCUUUUGUCGGGGAGCAAAGAGAGUCACGUGUGACUCAUUGAGAGUACCCGAAGAAAAAGCAUCGGCUAACUCCGUGCCAGCAGCCGCGGUAAUACGGAGGAUGCGAGCGUUAUCCGGAUUUAUUGGGUUUAAAGGGUGCGCAGGCGGAGGUGCAAGUCAGCGGUCAAAUUGCGGGGCUCAACCCCGUGCUGCCGUUGAAACUGCAUC
rnacentral:rRNA from 1 species